AACGAACGCUGGCGGCAUGCCUAACACAUGCAAGUCGAACGAGACCUCCGGGUCUAGUGGCGCACGGGUGCGUAACGCGUGGGAACCUGCCCUUAGGUUCGGAAUAACUCCCCGAAAGGGGUGCUAAUACCGGAGAAUGUAUUCGGACAAAAGAUUUAUCGCCUUUGGAUGGGCCCGCGUUGGCUUAGCUAGUUGGUAGGGUAAAAGCCUACCAAGGCGACGAUCCAUAGCUGGUCUGAGAGGAUGAUCAGCCACACUGGGACUGAGACACGGCCCAGACUCCUACGGGAGGCAGCAGUGGGGAAUAUUGGACAAUGGGCGAAAGCCUGAUCCAGCAAUGCCGCGUGAGUGAUGAAGGCCUUAGGGUUGUAAAGCUCUUUUACCCGGGAUGAUAAUGACAGUACCGGGAGAAUAAGCUCCGGCUAACUCCGUG
rnacentral:rRNA from 1 species